CAGAACGAACGCUGGCGGCAGGCCUAAACCAUGCAAGUUGAACGGCCAUAGCAAUAUGGCAGUAGCGCAAGGGUGAGUAAUGUAUGGGAACGUAUCUUUUGGUGGGGAAUAUUCUUUGGAAACGAAGAGCAAUACCGCAUAAGCCCUACGGGGGAAAGAUUUAUCGCCGAUUGAGCGGCCCAUAUUGGAUUAGCUAGUUGGUUGGGUAAUGGCCGACCAAGGCUGUGAUCCAUAGCUGGUCUGAGAGGACGAUCAGCCACACUGGGACUGAGACACGGCCCAGACUCCUACGGGAGGCAGCAGGUAGGAAUAUUGGACAAUGGGGGCAACCCUGAAUCCAGCCAUGCCGCGUGAGUGUUAAGGCCUUCGGGUUGUAAAGCUCUUUUGUAUGGGAAAAUGAUGAUGGUACCAUAAGAAUAAGCACCGGCUAACUUCGUGCCAGCCGCCGC
rnacentral:rRNA from 1 species